CGCAAUGGGGGCAAGCCUGACGGAGCAAUGCCGCGUGAGGGAAGAAGGCCUUCGGGUUGUAAACCUUUGUUUUAUGGGAAGAUAGUGACGGUACCAUAAGAGGAAGCCCCGGCUAACUACGUGCCAGCAGCCGCGGUAAUACGUAGGGGGCAAGCGUUGUCCGGAAUUACUGGGCGUAAAGGGCGUGUAGGCGGUUUUUUAAGUUAGGAGUGAAAACUCGAGGCUUAACCUCGAGAGUGCUUCUAAAACUGGGAGACUUGAGUGCAGGAGAGGAAGGUAGUAUUCCUGGUGUAGCGGUGAAAUGCGUAGAUAUCAGGAGGAAAUACUCGUGGCGAAGGCGGCCUUCUGGCCUGUAACUGACGCUGAGKCGCGAAAGCGUGGGGAGCAAACAGGAUUAGAUACCCUGGUAGUUCCACGCCGUAAACGCAAUGUAGUUGUCUAAGUUGUUUGUGUAGUGUUCAUCGCAA
rnacentral:rRNA from 1 species